UUUAUAUAUAUUCUAAUCAUUUUUAUUUCAUCUAUAUUCAGACUUAUUUAAUAAAGUAAAGGGACAAGUUUGCGGAAAAGCGCACAAGGCGAAAUUGACGCUGCCAAGUGGGCCAAACGUAACUCUUGAGGGCUUUAAGGCAUUUGAAGAAUGUCUUAAGGAAGAGAAGUCCUUUGAAAAUUUGGUCAUUGAAUCAGUCGCAAGUGCUGAAAAGACGUUCGACAAAUUCAUGAGGAGCUCCUGGCGCCAAAUAAUAACGGAUGAUGUUGCAAAUCAAAUGUUAGAGGCCUUCAAACCACAUUAGCAAUACGAAAAGUUUGCGCUGGAAGACUGCGAUUUCGACCGCGUAACCCAAAAAUACUUUCAACACGCGCAGGAUAGAGUGGCGCGCUUAGAAAAGGCUGAUGCCAACAAAAUAAAAUGCAAUUGUUAUUUUCUAUCGUUAAUAGUUUUAUAAUUUUCUGUUUGG